AAUAAAUUCAAGCAUUAUGAACUGUUACUAUAGUUCAAUCUAAUGCCUUUGUCAAAUAUCAUAUAAAUGCGGUUCUCUUUUCAGCAGGAGGUGGGUCAGAGAGAACAGAUGUCCCUGUGUGUGCUGGGCUGCCAAGUCAGGCUAGGGCAGUGAAGCCCGAGACACAAGAGCCCAAAUGGUGUGACAAAGGAGGAGCAGGAAGCCUGGCUCUGCCUGGAUGAACCUCAGAGAGCGCCAGUCCACAUCCACAUCCCAGCCCCAACCCUCGGCACACGGCCCACAACCCUAUUGAACUACUAGAGCAGGGCCGUGGACCAUGUGCUGACUUUUUGCUGGAUCACACAACCAUACACAUGAUCACAGGAGUGUAAACGCUGACAUAUGAUCACUAGAGGACAAGUGUGCAGAGUUUAAGCAGAAAUCUCACACACAUGCACAGGUAUAAACACUUCAUCUUGUCAGACUGUGGUAUAGCAUGUUAUUAUCGCGCUUCCUCUUGCUAAGUGGGAUCUAUAUUCCUGUGGUGGGGAUUUCCAGUGUCUUUCCAUAACAACUCCAAUCAAAGAAAAUGAAGGGGUAUUUAGUUCUUCUCCAGAAGUGUUCUGCAAACUUGCUUUGUAACGUUAGACGAGGAAGUCAAGGUUUCCUCUUCAGAAAUGAAUGCCUUUUUAAAUUGAAGCCGAGGAACUGACAGAUAGUUAAAUUGUGCAUGAAAUUUAGCUGGCGCAGGGAGCUAAGAAGCUGGACUGAUUAGGCAACAUCUGUUACAUUGGGGAGAAAUCCGUGUCUGUCCUAAUUAGCUGUCAG
rnacentral:lncRNA from 1 species